rnacentral:rRNA from 1 species
GACGAACGCUGGCGGCGUGCCUAAUACAUGCAAGUCGAACGCAGUGGGUACGGGUGGGUAACCCGUGGGUAACCUCCCAUCAGAGGGGAUAACACUUGGAAACAGGUGCUAAACCGAUACUGAUGGAUGGACCCGCGGUGCGUUAGCUAGUUGGUGAGGUAACGGCUCACCAAGGCCACGAUGCAUAGCCGACCUGCCAGGGGGAGCGGCCACACGGGGACUGAGACACGGACCAGACGCCUACGGGAGGAAGCAGGAGGGAAUCUUCGGAAAUGGACGAAAGUAUGACCGAGCAACGCCGCGGGAGUGAAGAAGGGUUUCGGAUCGUAAAACUCUGUUGGUAGAGAAGCGGUAUCUAACCAGAAAGCCACGGCUAACUACGUGCCAGCAGCCGCGGUAAUAC